rnacentral:misc_RNA from 1 species
GAAGGAUUCAUUAUGGAAGAGGAGAAAAAAAAAUUAAAAACAAAAAGAUGGGUAUAUGGUGGUGAAAAUAAGGUGAUGGAGAUUGCUAUGUAUUUAUAUUGGAGGGUUGAAGAAAAAGAGAAGCAAGAAAUGAAAGAAAAGUAAGUGAAUAGCUUAAAAGCACAGGUUUCUAUAGUGAAAAGGAUUGUUGGGGUAAUUAUGUGUGUUUCCUAUAGUGUGGAGGAGAUGAUUAGGAAUCUG